GACGAACGCUGGCGGCGUGCCUAAUACAUGCAAGUAGAACGCUGAAGAGAGGAGCUUGCUCUUCUUGGAUGAGUUGCGAACGGGUGAGUAACGCGUAGGUAACCUGCCUUGUAGCGGGGGAUAACUAUUGGAAACGAUAGCCAAUACCGCAUAACAAUGGAUGACACAUGUCAUUUAUUUGAAAGGGGCAAUUGCUCCACUACAAGAUGGACCUGCGUUGUAUUAGCUAGUAGGUGAGGUAACGGCUCACCUAGGCGACGAUACAUAGCCGACCUGAGAGGGUGAUCGGCCACACUGGGACUGAGACACGGCCCAGACUCCUACGGGAGGCAGCAGUAGGGAAUCUUCGGCAAUGGGGGCAACCCUGACCGAGCAACGCCGCGUGAGUGAAGAAGGUUUUCGGAUCGUAAAGCUCUGUUGUAAGUCAAGAACGAGUGUGAGAGUGGAAAGUUCACAC
rnacentral:rRNA from 1 species